UAACCCCUAUGUCAUUAUUGGCCAUAUAGUAAACUGUAUUGUGGAAGGCUUUCAUGGGUGGAAUCACUGGGGUGUUAUGUGGUUUCCGAGCUGUAUAGCUGUCUUCUGGCAACAUUUUCUCCUGCUUGUAUCUGUGGCUGCCAUCUUCAGAGGAAGGGGCUGCGGUGGCACAAUGGGUUAAAAGCUUGUGUUGGCUGAACUACUAACCUGAAGGUUGGUGGUUCAAAACCACGAGAUGGAGUGAGCUCCCAUCUGUCAGCCCUAGCUUCCCAUGCGGGAACAUGAGAGAAGCCUCCCAACAGGAUGGUAACACAUCCGGGCAUCCCCUGGGCAAAUGUCUUAGUAGACGGCUAAUUUUCUCAUACCAGAAGUGAUCCAAUUUGCUUCUGUCAUGAUUAAAAAAAUCUUCAGAUGAUCUUCUGAACACCUCAAAUAGUAAACUAUUUCUCUGUAACAAUCCACAUUUGUUAUAUUUCUUUGUUAACAAUUCCAGACUAUCAGAAAAUGGUAAGGAAGAGUGAAAAGAAAAUGGCCCAUGCUACAUAAUGAGAGAUUGCAUCCACAUGGCUCACUGCACCAUGAUUUACAAUUGCUGUCAAAGAUUAUUAUUCUGGAUACAGAGAGCCAGAAUGGUGUAAAAGUUUAAGGAUUGGACUAAGGACUUCAUCACACAAGGUGACUAAAGUGCAAUUACAACAGAAUAAAAGCAUCUGUUGGUGAGUUGGCGUCCUAUAGUCUCAUUAUGCUUGAAUCAUUAUUGGAUUACCUCUUUUAAUUUAUUUUGGGGGGAACCAUAAAUGAAUCCAACAUCACUGUUGUUCCGUCACUCUUCCUUGUGCCUUAAUUUCCUUUUAUUGCAGUUCCAGUAUUGUGAAGCAGUAAAGAUCUCGUGAGAAUAACAAAAUCAAAACAGAACAGUUUUGCCAAAAUGGGUUGGGGGGGGGGAUAAGAAAAUUAGAAAAAAUUGUUUGGAGUAAGGAUGGAUAGGAAACAAGGUUGUGUGGAAGUGUAUGAUUAUGGAAAAGUGCAUCCAGAAAGUGGCAGCAUCAUGCAAUUACACCAAAGUGGGAGUUUGUGAGUUUCCUUUUGCUUAAUUUAUGGGAUUAUGACAAGAGAACAGGCUG
rnacentral:lncRNA from 1 species